AGUGGUAUAGCUGGGUCAAGUGGGGUUCCAUUCCCAGUUUUCCAAGGACUCUCCAUACUGCUUGCCAUAUUGGCUGCACCAAUUUGCAGUCCCACCAGCAAU
rnacentral:pre_miRNA from 1 species